rnacentral:rRNA from 1 species
CAACGUGGGUAACCUGCCCAAGAGAUCGGGAUAACACCUGGAAACAGAUGCUAAUACCGGAUAACAACAGAUGAUGCCUAUCAACUGUUUAAAAGAUGGUUCUGCUAUCACUCUUGGAUGGACCUGCGGUGCAUUAGCUAGUUGGUAGGGUAACGGCCUACCAAGGCGAUUAUGCAUAGCCGAGUUGAGAGACUGAUCGGCCACAUUGGGACUGAGACACGGCCCAAACUCCUACGGGAGGCAGCAGCC